CCUACGGGAGACAGCAGUGAGGAAUAUUGGUCAAUGGACGAGAGUCUGAACCAGCCAAGUAGCGUGAAGGAUGACUGCCCUAUGGGUUGUAAACUUCUUUUAUAAAGGAGUAAAACGCGGCACGUGUGCCUUUUUGCAUGUACUUUAUGAAUAAGGAUCGGCCAACUCCGUGCCAGCAGCCGCGGUAAUACGGAGGAUCCGAGCGUUAUCCGGAUUUAUUGGGUUUAAAGGGAGCGUAGAUGGGUUGUUAAGUCAGGUGUGAAAGUUUGCGGCUCAACCGUAAAAUUGCAAUUGAUACUGGCAGUCUGGAGUACAGUUGAGGUAGGCGGAAUUCGUGGUGUAGCGGUGAAAUGCUUAGAUAUCACGAAGAACCCCGAUUGCGAAGGCAGCUUACUAAACUGUGACUGACAUUGAUGCUCGAAAGUGUGGGUAUCAAACAGGAUUAGAUACCCCUGUAGUC
rnacentral:rRNA from 1 species